GAGAUGUAAGCCGGAGUCUGUACUCUGCGUGUCUUUUAUAUUUUAUUAAAAUGCCUAAUCCAGCAACCUGUCAUGAACAAAAAAUAAAGAAAAUCCAGACGAUAUGCGCACCUUUAAUAUGAGUAGUAACACCAGGUACAUAAUUUAAACCUGAGGCAAAAAGACUACGAAGUGCGGGAUUGACAUUGGUGAAACUAUAUGAUGAUACGUGCUCUAUUAGGAUUUUGGUGACAAAACAUAUUUUUGAAUAUGCAGUUCAUAUAAUGGAAAGGUAAUUUGGAGAUCUAAAAUGAAGUAGCAAUGUAAGCAAGCUAACAU
rnacentral:lncRNA from 1 species